UCCCCUGAUGGAGUCGACAAGUCGGACU
rnacentral:sRNA from 1 species